rnacentral:siRNA from 1 species
UUCAGACUGUGAAACUGCGAA